rnacentral:rRNA from 1 species
GCCAGACUCCUACGGGAGGCAGCAGUGGGGAAUAUUGCACAAUGGGGGAAACCCUGAUGCAGCAACGCCGCGUGAGUGAAGAAGUAUUUCGGUAUGUAAAGCUCUAUCAGCAGGGAAGAAAAUGACGGUACCUGAGUAAGAAGCCCCGGCUAACUACGUGCCAGCAGCCGCGGUAAUACGUAGGGGGCAAGCGUUAUCCGGAUUUACUGGGUGUAAAGGGAGCGUAGACGGCGAUACAAGUCUGAAGUGAAAGCCCGGGGCUCAACCCCGGGACUGCUUUGGAAACUGUGUUGCUGGAGUGCUGGAGAGGCAAGCGGAAUUUCUAGUGUAGCGGUGAAAUACGUAGAUAUUAGGAAGAACACCAGUGGCGAAGGCGGCUUGCUGGACAGUAACUGACGUUGAGGCUCGAAAGCGUGGGGAGCAAACAGGAUUAGAUACCCCGGUA